rnacentral:rRNA from 1 species
GACAGAGGGUGCAAACGUUGUUCGGAAUUACUGGGCGUAAAGCGUGUGUAGGCUGCCCCGCAAGUCGGGUGUGAAAGCCCCGGGCUCAACCUGGGAAGUGCACUCGAAACUGCGGGGCUGGAGUCCUGGAGAGGAAGGCGGAAUUCUCGGUGUAGAGGUGAAAUGCGUAGAUAUCUGGAGGAACACCGGUGGCGAAGGCGGCAUCCUGGACCGGCAUUGACGCUGAGGCGCGAAAGCCAGGGGAGCAAACGGG